rnacentral:rRNA from 1 species
UACGGGGGGGGUAAGCGUUGUUCGGAAUUACUGGGCGUAAAGGGCUCGUAGGCGGCCAACUAAGUCAUACGUGAAAUCCCUCAGCUUAACUGGGGAACUGCGUGUGAUACUGGAUGGCUUGGAUUUGGGAGAGGGAUGCGGAAUUCCAGGUGUAGCGGUGAAAUGCGUAGAUAUCUGGAGGAACACCGGUGGCGAAGGCGGCAUCCUGGACCAAUAUUGACGCUGAGGCGCGACAGCGUGGGGAGCAAACAGG